rnacentral:rRNA from 1 species
UACGGAGGGUGCGAGCGUUGUCCGGAAUCACUGGGCGUAAAGCGCACGUAGGCGGCUUUCUAAGUCAGGGGUGAAAUCCUGGAGCUCAACUCCAGAACUGCCUUUGAUACUGGAGAGCUUGAGUCCGGAAGAGGUGAGUGGAACUCCGAGUGUAGAGGUGAAAUUCGUAGAUAUUCGGAAGAACACCAGUGGCGAAGGCGGCUCACUGGUCCGGUACUGACGCUGAGGUGCGAAAGCGUGGGUAGCAAACAGG